AUUGAACGCUGGCGGAAUGCUUUACACAUGCAAGUCGAACGGCAGCACGGGGGCAACCCUGGUGGCGAGUGGCGAACGGGUGAGUAAUACAUCGGAACGUGCCCAGUCGUGGGGGAUAACGUAGCGAAAGCUACGCUAAUACCGCAUACGAACUCUGCUUGCAAGCGGGGGAUCGCAAGACUUCGCGCGAUUGGAGCGGCCGAUGGCAGAUUAGGUAGUUGGUGGGGUAAAGGCUCACCAAGCCGACGAUCUGUAGCUGGUCUGAGAGGACGACCAGCCACACUGGGACUGAGACACGGCCCAGACUCCUNACGGGAGGCAGCAGUGGGGAAUUUUGGACAAUGCGCGCAAGCCUGAUCCAGCCAUUCCGCGUGCAGGAUGAAGGCCCUCGGGUUGUAAACUGCUUUUGUACGGAACGAAAAAGCCUGGGCUAAUACUCCGGUCCAUGACGUACCGUAAGAAUAAGCACCG
rnacentral:rRNA from 1 species